UAAGAUAUAGUCCGAACUUCAUAGCGAUAUGAAGAGAUGAAUUCUGCUCAAAAGAAUUCUAAUUAACAGAUAUGAGCGUAAUGCCUUGUCGUCUGAAUGGCGACGUGCAUGAAUGGUUUAACGAUGUAGUUGCUGUCCCUAACUAAGACCUUCUGAAAUCACUGUCCGGUGAAAAUGCCGGAAUCACCUAGUGGGAAGCGGAGACCUUGUGAACCUUUACUGCAGCUUGUUGUUGCAAUUUUAUAAAAGAUACCCAGUGUAGGUAGGAGCGUCGAUAUUAUGUUUUAGGACAUAAUGGAGCAACAAUGUAACACUACCUGUUUUUUAUAGGAUUGCUUACUUUAUCUUUGAAUUGAGGACAUCAGCAGGUGGGCAGUUUGGCUGGGGCGGCACCCUGACGAAAAGAUAUCGUUAGGGCCUAAAGACAAACUCAUCCAGGUCGGAAAUCUGGAGUAGAGCGCGAAGGUAAAAGUUUGUCUGACUGUUUUUCGAAAAGCAAGAAAAGCAGGGAUGAAAGUCGGGCUUAGCGACCCGUCGAUGGUUUUUAAUGGACCACGACUGUGACAGAAAAGGUACUCUAAGGACAACGGGCUUGUCGCGCCUGAUAGUUCAAAUUGACGGCGCGGUUUGGUACACAGCUGUCGGCUCUUCCUAUCCUGGAUGUGCACAAGCAUCCAAGGGUGUCGGAGUUCACGCAUUAAAAGGGAUCGUUAGCUGGGUUAAGAACGUCGCGAGACAGUUUGUAUGAUAUCUACUAGGUGUGUUAUUGAGUGAGUGGAACGAUCUUCUAGUACGAGAGGAACGGAGAUUGGGUGCCUCUGGUGUAUCAAUUGUUAAGAGCAGGUUGAGCAGCUACGCACUGUAUGGAUAAGAGCUGAAAGCAUCUAAGCUCGAAGCCAUCCGCAAAACGACUCAAUUAAGGCCGCUGAAAAACACAGCGUUGAUAGAGUUGAGAUGUAAGAUUCGAGGCAACGAGAAUUUAAGUCUGCAACUACUAAUAGCCUCACUUGUUAAGUUU
rnacentral:rRNA from 1 species